AAAUAAAAUGAGAUCCCCAAUGAUAUCCUCACCUUUCAGCUUGAGGACAGAAGAAAGGGCUGCAAGAAGAAAGAAGAAACUUGAAGAAAAGUUCAAUGCCAAUGAGGCACAAAAAGUGCAACUUCAUACAAAACUCAAGGAAAAAGCAGAGACAGAGAUCAGAAAACUUCGCCA